GCGGUAAUUCCAGCUCCAAUAGCGUAUAUUUAAGUUGCUGCAGUUAAAACGCUCGUAGUCGGUCUUCGGGAGGACUGCUUCGGUUCGCCUUGUGUGAUACUGUCGCAGUCCUCUUUACUGCCGGUGCCUGGCUCCUGGGCUUCACUGUCCGGGACUAGAAGUCGGCAUUGUUACUGUGAGAAAAUUGGAGUGUUCAAAGCAAGCAAACGCUAUGCACACUUUAGCAUGGAAUAACGAUUAUUGGACUCGCGUCCAGUCGUUGGUCUAUGGUCUGCGAGUAACGACCAAUGGGGGCGAUCGGGGGCAUUCGUAUUGCAGUGCUAGAGGUGAAAUUCUCGGAUU
rnacentral:rRNA from 1 species